GCAUCGGUGGGGUAUCGGGCGGGAGCCCACGGCCCUCCCAUGAUCCCACAACAGUGUAGUUAUGGCCGAGAGCGGGGUUCGACUCCCCGUCGAUGCA